GGGGGAUAUUGCGCAAUGGGGGCAACCCUGACGCAGCAACGCCGCGUGAAGGAUGAAGGUUUUCGGAUUGUAAACUUCUUUUAUUAAGGACGAAACUUGACGGUACUUAAUGAAUAAGCUCCGGCUAACUACGUGCCAGCAGCCGCGGUAAUACGUAGGGAGCAAGCGUUGUCCGGAUUUACUGGGUGUAAAGGGUGCGUAGGCGGCUUUGCAAGUCAGAUGUGAAAUCUAUGGGCUCAACCCAUAAACUGCAUUUGAAACUGUAGAGCUUGAGUGAAGUAGAGGCAGGCGGAAUUCCCCGUGUAGCGGUGGAAUGCGUAGAUAUCGGGAGGAACACCAGUGGCGAAGGCGGCCUACUGGGCACCAACUGACGCUGAGGCUCGAAAGUGUGGGUAGCAAACAGGAUUAGAUACCCUGGUAGUCCACACCGUAAACGAUGAUUACUAGGUGUUGGAGGAUUGACCCCUUCAGUGCCGCAGUUAACACAAUAAGUAAUCCACCUGGGGAGUACGACCGCAAGGUUGAAACUCAAAGGAAUUGACGGGGGCCCGCACAAGCAGUGGAGUAUGUGGUUUAAUUCGACGCAACGCGAAGAACCUUACCAAGUCUUGACAUCCCUUGACAGACAUAGAAAUAUGUAAUCUCUUCGGAGCAAGGAGACAGGUGGUGCAUGGUUGUCGUCAGCUCGUGUCGUGAGAUGUUGGGUUAAGUCCCGCAACGAGCGCAACCCUUAUGGUCAGUUACUACGCAAGAGGACUCUGGCCAGACUGCCGUUGACAAAACGGAGGAAGGUGGGGAUGACGUCAAAUCAUCAUGCCCUUUAUGACUUGGGCUACACACGUACUACAAUGGCGUUAAACAAAGAGAAGCAAGACCGCGAGGUGGAGCAAAACUCAGAAACAACGUCCCAGUUCGGACUGCAGGCUGCAACUCGCCUGCACGAAGUCGGAAUUGCUAGUAAUCGUGGAUCAGCAUGCCACGGUGAAUACGUUCCCG
rnacentral:rRNA from 1 species